rnacentral:rRNA from 1 species
GACGAACGCUGGCGGCGUGCUUAACACAUGCAAGUCGAACGGAAAGGCCCUGCUUUUGUGGGGUGCUCGAGUGGCGAACGGGUGAGUAACACGUGAGUAACCUGCCCUUGACUUUGGGAUAACUUCAGGAAACUGGGGCUAAUACCGGAUAGGAGCUCCUGCUGCAUGGUGGGGGUUGGAAAGUUUCGGCGGUUGGGGAUGGACUCGCGGCUUAUCAGCUUGUUGGUGGGGUAGUGGCUUACCAAGGCUUUGACGGGUAGCCGGCCUGAGAGGGUGACCGGCCAUCAUGGGGACGGAGAUCCGCCCCAGCCCCCGGGGGGGGGAGAGGGGGGGGAUUUGUCCACAGGGGGGGGAGGCCUGAUGCGGCAGCCCCGGGUGGGGGAUGGGGGCUUUGGGUUUGUAACCCGCUUGCGCCUGGGAAGAAGGGGGAGUGAGGGUAGUGGGAAAAGAAGCACCGCCUACCUGCGU